AGAGUUUGAUCMUGGCUCAGGAUGAACGCUAGCGGCAGGCCUAAUACAUGCAAGUCGAACGAUAUGAAGUAGAAAUACUUCAAAAAGUGGCGCACGGGUGCGUAACACGUAUGCAACCUACCUAUCACAGGGGGAUAGCCCGAAGAAAUUCGGAUUAAUACCCCAUAAAACAGAUUCUUCGCAUGGAGAGAUUGUUAAAGCUGAGGCGGUGAUAGAUGGGCAUGCGACUGAUUAGUUAGUUGGCGGGGUAACGGCCCACCAAGACAAUGAUCAGUAGGGGGUCUGAGAGGAUGAUCCCCCACACUGGUACUGAGAUACGGACCAGACUCCUACGGGAGGCAGCAGUAGGGAAUAUUGGUCAAUGGGCGAGAGCCUGAACCAGCCAUGCCGCGUGCAGGAAGAAGGCCUUCUGGGUUGUAAACUGCUUUUAUCAGGGAAGAAAACGCUCUUGCGAGAGUAACUGACGGUACCUGAGGAAUAAGCACCGGCUAACUCCGUGCCAGCAGCCGCGGUAAUACGGAGGGUGCAAGCGUUGUCCGGAUUUAUUGGGUUUAAAGGGUGCGUAGGCGGGCUAUUAAGUCAGUGGUGAAAGCCGGCAGCUCAACUGUCGAACUGCCAUUGAUACUGAUAGCCUUGAGUACAGAUGAGGUGGGCGGAAUUUAUGGUGUAGCGGUGAAAUGCAUAGAUACCAUAAAGAACACCGAUAGCGAAGGCAGCUCACUAAACUGUAACUGACGCUGAGGCWCGAAAGCAUGGGGAKCGAACAGGAUUAGAUACCCUGGUAGUCC
rnacentral:rRNA from 1 species